AUCUUUGAACGCACCUUGCACCUUUUGGUAUUCCAAAAGGUACACCUGUUUGAGUGUCAUG
rnacentral:rRNA from 2 species